GGAAGGAAAGAAAAAAAAGAAUGAAAGAAAGAAACUAAUACCCAAGGGGUUCUAUCCCUUUCCUUUGUUGUUUAUGUGAUUUUUUUUCUUUCUGAGACAGGAUCUUAUAUGGCUCAGUCUGGACAAUUUCACUAUUUUGCUGAGGCUGUCCUUGAACCCCCUAUGUCCCUGCCACCACCUCCCAAAUGCAGGAAUUACAGGCGACCAUUGCCACAUGUGCUGGCAGGAUGAAAUCUUAUUUUAAAUUCUGAGGACUGAACUCUGGGCCUUGGCACUGCACACAGUAGGCAUCACUGCACCUGAGAUAUACCCCCAUCCCUAGUUCACUCUGUCCUUCAAGAAUGGUACUCAGCCUACACCAUCCAAGAGCAGGCCGUCAUCAGAUACUCGGUCUGUAUUCCCUCCCUCGUUGAAUUACAAGAUCAAACUAGAAAAAUAGUGGCUCCCCUAACCUCUAGAGUUGCAAAGAAAAGGGGUGUUUAUAAGGUAUUCCCCUCACACCAUGUACAGUAUUUCUGUUAGUCCAAUCCAAGGCAUCUUAGCUAAUUUCUGUUCACAUGAGAGUGUGACAUGCUCUGAUUAUAGAUGUGCCUGGAUUUCACAGCCUUGCUCCCUUCUUACUGGUACUGUGUCUGGAGUGACAAGCUAAAUUCACGUAUGCCUCAGCUUCCCUGUCCAUGAAAAUGAAGACAGAAGAAGGGUGGCAUGAACUAUUGAAUUUUUCCUCAUUUUACUGUAUCCAGCAGAAAGAGAGUUAAAAGGGUAAAUGGAUGAGCCAGGUUUGAAAUACUUGCACCCACAAUGACUACAUAAGUUUGCUCCAGUAUUGAGGGCUGUCCCGUCAUCAUUUUCAAGGAGACUAUCCAUUUAUGGGCUAUGCUGGUAGGGAUGCUAUUGGGUUACUCUUCCCUUUAAUGAGCCUUAAAUCUCAGUGUGAAUGUAAGUCUGGGUAGUGAUGCCACAUUUGACUCCCAGAGGAGACUUUGCAAAACACAAGUGAUAACACUAAGGGUCAAAGCAGUGUUUUCCUCAUAUGCCUGAAUUUCUGUUUCGAAAGACAAAUUCUAAGCUUCAUGGACAAUAUGUUUGAGUUUAUUUCUUGAGCCAUUAAAAGAUCUGGAAGAUGAUAUUGUACCAGGCUGUCUCUUCCUCCUCCUCUUCCUCUCCCUCAUCCUCAUCCUCCUCCUUCCCCUCCUCCUUCUUCUUCUCCUCCUCCUUCUUCAUAGACUCGAAUGGUACUUGAACAGAGCACAGAGAAGUGUUAGAAUUAGCCUGUGAGUAAUUACUCAGAGAAACUAAGGAGUCUAAGUGCUUUCUGUUUACCCUUUGCUGAACACUGAUUUCAGUUGAGAAGUGUGCUUCUUAAGAACAUUCAGAAAAACAAACAGCACAGAUGGAUACCAGUCAGGCAGCAGAAGACGUGAACUGUCUGUUGUCUGGACUCUCCUGUGACAGCACUGCUCUCUUGAGAUGGAGUGAUGAUAAAUUGAGCUGAUGCCCUCAAAGCUCCUGGCCAAAUGUAAGGGACUCAUCACGAUAACAGAAAGUGGAGGUUCUGAUAAAGAUCUUUCUAUAAUGUCAACUACAAAUCUAUAUGAAAUAACUUAGAUUUUCUCUACAAACAUCAGUUCUAUACUCAUUGCUUAAAUUUCCUCUACAAACAUCAGUUUUAUACUCCACAAUGUGAGAAUUUUUAAGGUGGGUGGUGCGGAGGUUGGUUGUUUUUUGAGACUGGGUCUCACUGUGUAAACCCGGAAUUGCUGUACAGCCCAGGUUAAUUUUGAACUUGAGAACCUCCCUUAUGGCAUACACCCCCAUACCUGACUUAAAAAUGAUUUUGAAAGACCCCUGCUAAUGAUAAAAGCAAUUUUAUGUAAAGAGGAUUGCAAACAUGAGAUACUAAUUGUAAGUGGAUACCCUUAAGAUUAGCCAACUCUCCUGAAUAAAUUAUUCAUUUUUCCCAUUUGUGUUCUGAUAAAGAAAGACCAUAAAAGGAAUACAAGCAAUGACCAAAUUCAUCAAAGAAUGGAUCUUGUACCACGAAAGCAGUAAAAAUGCUGAAAUUAUGGUUAAAGUGAAUAUGAAAUUCAUAAAAACUCAUUGAUUCAUGUGUUUAAGGAAACAUUAAGAAGAGCAAUUUCUCCUUGGCCAGAUCUUUCCAUGAGUUGGUCACAGGAGAGUCCCUUGGGUUCCACAGGCACAGACUCAAUGUGACACUAAGGAGCAACCCAGGUGGGACCAGUUGGCUUCCUACAGCUUACAUCCAGUGGGUUGCAACCAGAAUUUGGAAAUAAAAUUAAAUCAACUCUAAGGUAAAAUAAUGAAAUUUGUGACCUAAGAUUUUCAAUGCUGGAAGUCCAAAUUCUAGCGUGUCUGACAGACUAGGCUUGAUCAAUGUCCCAUUAAAGAGUUGAGCAAACACGGAGAGAUUUAUUCAAUGCAGCCACACUGGGAAGGGGCACAAAUAAAGGUUCUCAGUGACCCCAAGUCUGUCUUGAGGUAGUGACAUGAGCUUUGGGUUGGGGCAAGGUGGGCAAGAGGCAUGCAUAAUUAAGCAGUCCUGGCCUAGAUGUGGUUUGCUUUCUUGACCAGACUGUCAGCUUUGUUCCUGCAAGGUGGUCCAUGUCCUUAGUGAAUGGAGGGCAAGGUGGUUCUCAGGAGGUUAGUUCUGCUCCUGGAUGUGGUCUCGUUCUUACAGAUAAUUGCCCUCAUGGGAAUGGGGAUAGCAUAUUUCCAGGGAUUUGCUAUUCUUGAAAUCCAAAGCUAAUGCAGAUCAGAGCAAUGACUUCUCUCUGUACCUUGAGCCUAGAAGAAGGAAGUCAUGAACUGGAUACACAUGUCUUGAACAGUUAACAGACCCUGGCAAGCAGACAACCCCAAAGUCAAGGGAACAGACAGAAAGUGAGAGCAGAGACACCAGGCUUCCAUGUGUAUUCAACUGCCUUGUGAACCCAUGUGAGGAACCAAGUCUAUCCAGCAAAAUCAAACCCCAAGUUCCUGUUUCAGUUCCAUAGUGCAUUGCUACAGUGCAGGUGUGUCUAUCACAAUGCAAGUGUGAUUAUCACAGUGCAGGUGUGUCUGUCACGGUGCAGGUGUGUGUAUCACAGUGCAGGUGUGUCUGUCACGGUGCAGGUGUGUCUAUCACGGUGCAGGUGUGUCUGUCACGGUGCAGGUGUGUCUGUCACUGGCAGGUGAGUCUGUCACAGUGCAGGUGUGUCUGUCACAGUGCAGGUGUGUCUAUCACAGUGCAGGUGUGUCUGUCACGGUGCAGGUGUGUCUGUCACAGUGCAGGUGUGUCUGUCACUUGAAUGUGUGUCUGUCACAGUGCAGAUGCAUUUUUAAACAGAUGUUUUCCCCCUUAAUGUAUUGCAUCAAUUGGGACUGGAGAGAUGGCUCAGUGGUUAAGUGCAUUGGCUGCUCUUGCAAAGGACCCAAGUUUGACUACCAGCACCCACAUGACAGCUCACAGUCACUGAUAACUCCUGUUUCAUGGGAUUUCAGCACCCUUUUCUGGUCUUCGUGGGCAUUGCACACAUGUGGGACACAGACAGGCAAUUGAGAAAACAUAUACACACAUAAAAUAAUAAAAUAAAAAUUAAAGACUUAUUGGACUUAUUGCAUCAAGUGUGUGACUUAUCAUUCUUUCUAGUCAGUGAAAUUCCAGAAUCUUUUUAUGAACUAAAGCUGCAUUUGCCUAAAGGAGGUAUUGAUUAGUUGGGAAACAAUGAUGAAGGAAGACAGGUGUUAGCAUUCCUAUUUGAUCACCCAUGUUAUUUCUGCCAGAGCUGUGAUCUGUGUGAGAUCAUAUAUACAUAAUCAAUUUCCUGUGUUCAAGGUUACGUAGAACAUUGCACAGAAGAUGGAAAAUUUAAUAGGGAGUGCUCAUGCGGGUACAUAUUGAAUAACUUCAAAGAGCUGAGCCACAUAGAAAAUAAAUGUGAAAAUAAUAUCCAAGGAGAGUAUUUCCCUGAAAGUACAAGCUUUUCAUUUCAAUGCAAGACUUAGCCUAAGUCAAGGAGUGUGAGAACUGUCUAAUUGUUACAGAUAACCUCUGUAAUACACUUCAAUAUGUAUAUGUUGAAUGUUUAUUGUAGGUUUUCAUUGUCUUUUUAUAUUCAGUUCCCUUUUUCCCUGCUCUUGCUUUAUUUUACAGUUGUGGUUAUUUUUAUUUUGUGUGUAUGGGUAUGUGCCUGGAUGUGCGUGUGUGCAACACAUGUGUACAAUGCCUAUGGAGGCUAGCAGAGGGCAUUGAAUCCCUAAAACUAGAUUUAGGUGGUUAUGAGUCAUCUGAUGUUGGCGCUAGGAACCAAAUGCUAGUUAUCUGUACAAGUAGAAAGUGGUAUUAACCACUGAUCCAUGUCUCUACCCAUCUCCCCAAUAUUUUAAACUGUCAGCAUUAACUCUUUUAUUUUUAUAUUUUCCAUGCUUUAUAUUUCAUCUCUCACAUCACAUCCAACAAAGAGACAUGACCUGUGAAAAGACUUUUUCAGAAUUCUAAGUCAUUGUUUUUGAAAUUGAUUCCAUGAAAAUUCAUUAUAUCAUCACUGGCUUUGUGUAUAACCAUUGUGCAUAUGUAUAAAACCAUGAAAAUGUCUACAACAAAUGAAAGCACUUUGAGGGAAUCUCAGUAAUUUGAGUGAAUAUAUCAAAAGACUUGGGUUGUCAGUCACACAGUAUUUCAGAUGACUGAAGUCACCACCAAUAGGGCUUGCUGGUCUACCUAGCAUUCUGAUUUGACACAGACUCCAACCAUCAUUAUGUCCACUAGGACCUGAGUCCUGGUUACAAAGCCUUUGUAUAGCUGGUAGGGCAUCUUCUCUUUGUCUGACCACCACUGGCAUUUGACAGCUUCCCAAGCCACCCAUUAACAGGGUCAAAGGAGAACAGCCAAUGUAGGAAAAAUCACCUUUAGACUCAGAAUGGCAGCACUAAAAAAAGCAUCAUUCUUCCAGUUUUUCUUCUGAGUCUUGGUAAUUUAGCUAGUAUUUUUAAAAUACACUUUAAUAACCACUAUCCUUUAAAAGGUAAAUUUAUAUAUUCAUAGACAUUUGGAUAUUUCAUUCAUUCCUACUCUCUACACUUUUGCUUUGUCCUUCUGAGACAUGGUCUUGCUAUGUGACCCAGGCUGGCCUGGAACUUACUAUGUUAAACAGUAUGGCCUCAAACUUGUGGUGUUCCUUCAAUCUCCACCCCUUGAGUACUUGGGUUUGAACAUCACCACACCUGGAUUCCAUUGUAUGCUUUCUACUUAGUUCUUAAGUCUUGUUUUUAUUUGGGCCAUCACUGAUGACUUAAGUCAGUGUCUGCCCAACUAGAAAAUGAUUGAAAUUGGUAGGGAUAGCAUGACUCAUCAGGUAAAGGCAUUGCCAUUAAGCCUGAGGACUUGAGUUCCAUCCCCAGGACCCACAUGGUAGGAGAGAACAAACCCUCAGAAGUUGUCCUCUGACUUCCACAUUAGUACAUGAGACUUUCACAUGCACCUGUAAACCCAUCCAUCCCUCUAAACGCAUUAUACAAAUACAAAUGAAUAAAUACUUGAAAAUUUAUCUGGGUCAGACGAAGAAUGGAUUGUUGUUAAAUGACUUGCAAAGAGGGUAUCAGAUGGAGAGAAUACAGUCUUCCUUUCUCUUUUCUUUUGCCCUCCCAACCUCUUUUCUUCUCUUCCUUUCCUUGUUGUAGAGUUGGGGAAUAAAAUUUAAAAAAACUAUGCAUGCUGGGCAAGGGCUUUACCUUUGAACUUUAAUUCCAGCCCUUUUCACCCUUUUAAAUAUUGACCACAGGAAACCGACCUGACAUGAAAACAGAAUGAAUGACACAAGCUGUCUCUCUUGAGAAUACAAACAAACCAAUGAUCUUUCUCAGCUGCCACCCUCUGUCCCCCUCAGUUCCUGGUAAUGCUCUACAUUACUGGUUCCAGAGGAUGCUGCACUGGGGAGAUAUUCAUCCUUCAGUGGCAAAGCAAUUAUCCUUGAUACAAAUGCACUGCCAGAACUGUGACUACUCAGCCUGCUGUAAUUCUUCAGUACAGCCCAACAACAAAAGUAUAGACUUCUCAUUAAAUUCGCCAAUGUGGUGUUUUUAAAUGUGUGCUUCCUCAGCUUCUCUUUCUCUCUAUUGAAUAAUUAGUUCACAGAAAUAAAAAAAUUAAAGAUAUUUCUUAAAAA